rnacentral:rRNA from 1 species
UCCGUAGCGUUAUAAAGCUGACAAAGGAUGCCUAGGGUGCUCAUGUCGAGGAAGGACGCAUAUGGCGGCGAUACUCGUCGGGUAGGAGCCAUAAUCCAUUUAUCCGGCGGUUUCCGAAUGGGGAAACCCACCCGCUUCUGGCGGGGAUCGUAUCAUAAAUACAAUCCGCACUCUGUUUACAAAUUAAUACUCAAUAAUUUUCAAUUAUCAAUUUUCAUUAAGUUAUAAAUUUUAAAUUUUAAAAUUGAAAAUUAACAUUAUAAAAAUUGUACGAUCGAAUAUAAUUUGUAUUUGUAAAUAGUGUGCGGAUUGGGACAGUGGUACGGGGGUCACCACCUGAACUGAAACAUCUAAGUAAGGUGAGGAAAAGAAAUCACAUUGAGAUUCCGCUAGUAGCGGCGAGCGAAAACGGAACAGCCUAAACCCUCCUUCGCUCUUUGCUUUGCAAAGAGCUACGGUAGGGCAAGCCCACCAUGUAAUCAUCGAAAAGAUGAUGAUCAAUGGGCGGGGGCCUGCCCACUGAAGCUCCGAACANNNNNNNNNNNNNNNNNNNNNNNNNNNNNNNNNNNNNNNNNNNNNNNNNNNNNNNNNAUAGAUGACCAUAGACAGUGAAAGUCUGGUAAGCGAAAUCUGAAUCUCCCCUAUAGAGUUCCUAAGUACCAUGGAACACGAAGGUUCUGUGGGAAUCCGGGUCAACCACGAUCCAAGGCUAAAUACAUGAGUGCACCGAUAGUGAACUAGUACCGUGAGGGAAAGGUUAAAAGUACCCCGGAAGGGGAGUGAAAUAGUACCUGAAAUUGUCAGCUAACAAACAGACGAAGGGCGAAGCCCUUCGAAUUCAAAGCUCAAAACUCAAAAGUCAAAAGUAAUAAGGAGUCGCUGGCGCGACAAUUGAUUACUUCAAAUUUUAAGUUUUGAAUUUUAACUUUUGAGUUCGGAAGGCUUCGCCUGACGUCGUGCCUAUUGAAGAAUGAACCGGUGAGUUACUUGAUGCUGCUUGCUUAAGCCAGUCAUCUGGCGUAGGCGUAGUGAAAGCGAGGGUUAAUAGCCCGUUUUUGUAGCAUCUAGUAGACCCGAAACCAGGUGAGCUAACCAUGAGCAGGGUGAACCCCGUCGAAAGACGGGGGGAGGUCCGAACUCGUCAGAGCUGCAAAUCUGUGAGAUGACUUGUGGUUAGGGGUAAUAUGCCUAUCGAACUUGGAGAUAGCUGGUUCUCCCCGAAAUAUAUUUAGGUAUAGCGGUCAAUGACACUGCCGGAGGGGUAGAGCACUGAAUGAUACAGAUUUCGCAAGAGGUCUGCUUCAAUCAAACUCCGAAUACUCCGGUAUAGUUACUUGGCCAGUCAGACAUGCGGGGCUAAGCUCGUGUGUCGAAAGGGUAACAGCCCUGACUUUCGUCUAAGGUCUCUAAUCUAUGGUAAGUGGUUAAGGAGGUCGUGUCUUGAAGACACCCAGGAAGUUGGCUUAGAAGCAGCCAUCUUUUAAAGAAAGCGUAACAGCUCGCUGGAUGAAAGGUGCGGCGCCGAAAAUGAUCGAGGCUGAAACCAUAGUACCGAAGACAGAGGUGUUUGUGCUUCGCACAACAAACUCAAAAGUCAAAUAUCAAACUCAAAAGAAACAAUGUGUCGUUUCGCGAUUCAUUAAUGAUUUGAGAUUUGCGUUUUGAGAUUUGAGUUCGCUUGUGCGAAGUGCAAGCGCGGUAGGGGAGCGUCCCGCCAACAGUGAAGAUUAUCCUGUAAGGGAGAUUGGAGUGGGCGGGAGUGAGAAUGCCGGUAUGAGUAGCGUUUGGGAGUGAGAAUCUUCCAUGCCGAAUGCGCAAGGUUUCCGAAGCAACGUUCGUCGACUUCGGGUAAGUCGGAUCUAAGACGAGGCCUCGUUGAAGGGGCGUAGUUCGAUGUAUAAACGGUUUAUAUUCCGUUACUAGAAGAGUGUCAAUAAAGACUUGAAGGGAUGACAAGGUGGGACGUGUCUGUGUCAGCCAACCGGCUGAUCUAAGCUUCGAAAUAGUGAUAACUGGAAAAUCCGUUAACACGAUUAAUAAAGAAGCAGGGGAGUCCAAACCGCAAGGGGCGGGCAAUACAGAUAGUUUCGCGUUCGAGAAAAAUCUCGUUAAGGGACACUUUUUUAUCCGUACCGCAAACCGACACAGGUGCGCUGGUAGAGUAUACUAAGGCAAGCGGGCGACAGUGGUUCAAGGAACUCGGCAACAAAAGCUGGGCGUAACCUUUGGGAGAUGCCCUUCCCGCCCUUUUUGUCUAUGAAAAAGCAUUGAGGUAAUAUUAUUUAAAUUAGAGAAUAACCUUCGAGCUUAAUUUGUAGAUAAAAAGGGCGGGACGCAGCGAAAGACACCGAGCGGCUGUUUAACUAAAACACAGGUCUCUGCGAAGCUGAAAGGCAACGUAUAGGGGCUGACACCUGCCCAGUGCCGGUAAGUUAAGAGUGGUUGGUAAUCCAACGCAAGUUUGAAAGCUGACUCCUCAAGCUCCGGUGAACGGCAGCAGUAACUAUAACUGUUCUAUGGUAGCGAAAUUCCUUGUCGGGCAAGUUCCGACCCGCACGAAAGGUUGAACGACUUGGUGACUGUCUUGAACCAUUACCCGGCGAAAUUGAAAUGGCUGUGAAGAUGCGGCCUACUUGCACAUGGACAAAAAGACCCCGUGGAGCUUUACUGCAGUUUGGCACUGAGGACUUUAUUUUGAUUGUCGAGCAUAGGAGGGAGAGCUGUGUGUAGCACAGAAAUCUCAAAUCAUAAAUCGCAAAUAACAAACAAAUUCAAAGUUGUUUGGAAUUUUAAAUAUUUAAAAUUGUUUGUAAUUUGGCGAUUGGAGCUUGAGAUUUGCGUGCUAUGCACGCUCAAUAGUGGAAUACCUCUCUUCGAAAUGAGGAAAUCUGUCUUUAUCCCGACAUAAAAAUCUCGGGAAAGAACACUGUCUGACGGGCAGUUUAACUGGGGAGGUUGCCUCCAAAAUGGUAACGGAGGCGUACAAAGGUUGGCUAACCCUGAAUGGAAACCAGGGCGCGUCGUGCAAACACACAAGCCAGCUUGACUGCGAGACGUACAUGUCGAGCAGAGACGAAAGUCGGUGUUAGUGAUCCUCGGAUCCCUCGUGGGAGGGACCGGGCUUAACGGAUAAAAGCUACCCNNNNNNNNNNNNNNNNNNNNNNNNNNNNNNNNNNNNNNNNNNNNNNNNNNNNNNNNNNNNNNNNNNNNNNNNNNNNNNNNNNNNNNNNNNNNNNNNNNNNNNNNNNNNNNNNNNNNNNNNNNNNNNNNNNGGGUACGCGAGCUGGGUUCAGAACGUCGUGAGACAGUAGACCUAUAGUAUAUGACAUCACUAUAAAAGAGCUGUCUUUCCUUCAGCGUUUUGAAUUUUAGAAGAGGAAAUUGAAGGAAUCCCGCCAUUAGUAUUACUUAAUUAAUAUUAAAUAGGUGGGAAUAAAUCUGACUAUAUGCUGGAAACUCCGAGCAUGACAUGAUACUAUGGUUCAUAGAGUAUAUUUAGUCUCUAUGAAUACAAGUGAUAAAUUAUUGUCUGCGGACAAUCAGCAGGUAAGCAGAAAGCAAGUCCAUGAUGAUUAUUUCUCUGGUUUUGUGGAUGGAGAAGGAUGUUUUUAUAUCGGUUUUAGUCGACGUGAUGACUUACCUCUAAAAUGGUAAAUAUUAACAGAGUUUCACGUCAGUCAGAAUCCCGGAAGUAAAAAUGUAUUGGUAGCACUAAAAUGCAGAUUGGGUUGUGGUUAUUUCAAACCUAAUCACUCUAAGAAUGUUUCAGAUAAAACAUGGAUUUAUCUUGUUAAAGAUAAAAAAGAUUUAGUGCAAAAAGUUAUUCCAUUUUUUUGAUUUACAUCCUUUACAAACAACAAAACAACAAGACUUUAAAGUAUUUAGGAAAGUGCUUGAGAUUAUUUCAGAGAAACGUCAUCUGACAAAAGCAGGAUUUAGAAAAGUCGUCGAUCUGGUUUUUUCUUUAUCAAGAACGACUAACAAACGAUACCCGAAAGAAAUAUGCUUUCUUUCUGAAACCUCAGAGACUAUAUGUCAGACCCCGCUAUCAUUAUAAUAAUUUAUGAUGUGAGUCGGGGAAGAUAUAGUCCGAACUCUAUGGCGACAUAGAGACCAUAGCAGAAAUGACUAUGGACGUUAUUUAACGAUUUAACAAAAUUGUCGGUCUCUAUCCUGUGCAAGCGUUCGAUUGUUGAGGGGAGCUUUCUUUAGUACGAGAGGACCGAGAAGGACAGAUCCCUGGUGUGCCUGUUGUUUCCCAGAGUGGAGGCAGCGCAGGGUAGCUAGAUCUGGACGGGAUAAGUGCUGAAAGCAUCUCAAGCGCUAAGCCCACCCCAAGAUGAACAACCGUUCCGCCGAAAGGCGGAGCAGACCCGUUGGAGAAUACAACGUUGAUAGGCGAGAGGUGUACGGGCCGUAAGGCUUUUAGCUUACUCGUACUAAUGGUCGAAGCUAUGGAAU